AAGAAUGGGACAGUUAGGGUUAGGAAAAGAUGAAAGCGACGGUUGGGUUUAGGAAUCGUGACACGUGGGACAUGAUCCCCAGGUCUCCUGGGUGAAAGUCCUGUGUUGU